rnacentral:misc_RNA from 1 species
GCACAGUAAGGGAAAGGGGCGAGCUCAGGAAGAUGGACGCCAUGGGAGUUGAGUGGGGCGCUCGGACAUGGGGAGCGGCAGCAGGAAGCUGGGCAGCCAAGCGCCAUAUAUUAGAGAUGGGGCGCGGCACCAGAGACCUCCAAGCAGGGGCUGGGGCGCUGGGAAGAAGAUGCGCUGGAGGAAGAGAGCGGCGUUGGGAGUUGGGGCUGGCGCGCUGGAGCAGAGAAGGCGAGCGCGCGUGUGGGAGGAGAUCCAUGGCUAGGGUCGCGGCUUGCGACAGCGAACAUAGUGCAGGACGCUCGAGCGCCAUGGGAGAGAGAG